ensembl:lncRNA
CGCCGCGGUGCCGCCUGGGAGUUGUAGUCUCCGGCAGCACGGCCCCGCGGUCCGUUCCCAGUCCCCGAGUCCCCAGAGCCCCGGUGCCGGCCUCCGGCCGAAAUGGGGACAGCGCGGGGCCGAAGGAAUCCUCCCGGGGAGAUCAGCCUGGCCUCGGACCCUCCCUGGGACGCAGUGGACGCAACGCCUGGAGGAGGAGAGGAGAGGGCCGAGCUCUCCUCACAGACCCUGAGGGGCUGUGGCCCAAAGGGUGUCGCUGGAGUUCUCCUGCUCAGGAACGAAUCUGAGGACAGGCAACAUCUUGGUGAUGCUCCAGACUUUCCGGCUGACUUGGUUUAGAGGACCUGUGGGAUGUGCUGAGAAGGAGGACUGGGGAGAGGUGAGAACAGCAGGAGUUAGGGAGGGGGAGGAGGAAUAGACACCCUCUCCCAGGCACCAAACCAGAUUCUCUCCCUAAGUGUGGGUGAGGCAAGCAUUUUAUGAGGUUCAGAAACGCAGCAGGACAGGCAGGAAGGGCCUGAUGUCCCAUGAGGUUAGGACGAAGUGAUUCAGAGGGGGCCCAAGUGUCAGGCUUCAUCUCCCUCAAUUAUUAACUCAGGGGGCGGAUACAAUCAAACAGCAUCGCAUCAACUCACCGUUCUUAUUUCCUUCCCCCAGACUUCAUGUAGGACAAAUUCAUUCUCUCACUGACAAAAUAUUUACUGAGCACAACCGAUGUACUGGGCAGGUCGCCGCGGAGGAGCAACCUGGCCUUGACGCCGCCGCAGCUCUGGAAGGGCCGGCGAGGUUCUGAGCCGGCACUUAAAGAGCGAGUGUCACAGAAGGGACAGGAGGGGACGCUGCGGGCAGUAGGGGGCGCUGCACAUGCGCAGAAAGCACCAACUAGACCUGAAGGCCUUGGGAGGACGUUGAGACCUGAAAAGUGAAGAGGAGGGAGAGGAAGAGCGUUUUAGGCAAAGAGACCUGGGUUGUGAAAGCCCUAAAAUAUUUAAAGUGUCAAUUCCUGGUACUGAGGAAGCCCCACGUGGCUGGACUGUGGAGUGACAGGGACGUGGUGGGGCUGAGGCCGCAAGCAGAAGCCUGCUGGGAAGGGCUUUCUGGGAAAGGAUUUGAUUUUAUGUUACUGCCUUUUUUUUUUUUUUUUUUUUUUUUUUAAGGGCCGCACUGGCGACAUAUGGAAGUUCCCAGGUGAGGGGUCAAAUCAGAGCUGCGGCUGCUGUUCUGCACCACAGCCACAGCACAGCAGGAUCCAAGCCGCACUGGUGACCUAUAGCACAGCUCACGGCAACCCUGGAUCCUUAACCCACUGAGCGAGGCCAGGGAUCAAACCAGAGCCUUCAUGGGUCCUACUUGGGUUUGUUACCCCUGAGCCACAAUGGAUUGGCUGCUCUCCCACCUCAGCAUCUUUAGCUUAAUCGUACCGGCAAAGUCUCCCUUUUGCCACAUAAGACAGCAUAUCGACAGGUUCCAGGCAUCAGGACGCGGACAUCUGUAGAGGGUCAUUUUUCUGUCCACCACAGGGAGCAAGUUGGACACGCGCUCCCGGGCAUCAGAGCACUCUUUGUGUCCCUCUCCGGUCUCCCCAGCUGUGUGCUGAUCUCAUCUCUUUCUUUCUCUCCUUUUCCCAUUUUUUUCUCCUGCUUUGCAGCUCAUUUUAAAAUAGAUAUCAUCAGCUAGAGACAUUUGCCCCAGAUUGCCCAAUCCUUAAGAACGGUGGUCCCAGUUAUGGUCCCCUCUGAGUAUGUCCAGUAGAAGGAGCUUGAUCUGACCGAAUCUCUGGGGGGAGCUUCUCGAACUGCACAGUCCAAGAGAAAUGAGCCACACAUGCAAGUUGCAUGUGUAAUUUCAAAAUUUCUAGGAGUCCCAUGGGGGAGAAAAAGGUAAAAAGAAAUAGAUGGAGUUAACUUUAAUAACAUAUUGUAUUUAGGAGUUCCUGUCGUGGUUCAGUGGUUAAUGAAUCCGACUAGGACCCAUGAGGUUGCGGGUUCGAUCCCUGGCCUUGCUCAGUGGGUUAAGGAUCUGGCAUUGCUGUGAGCUGUGGUGUAGGUUGCAGACGUGGCUCGGAUCCUGCGUUGCUGUAGCUCUGGCGUAGGCCGGCAGCUAUAGCUCCAACUCGACCCCUAGCCUGGGAACCUCCAUAUGCCACGGGAGUGGCCCAAGAAAUGGCAAAAAGAAAAAAAAAAAUAUGUAUAUAUAGUAUUUAACACAAUGUAUCAAACUUAUGAACAUUUCAACAUGCAUUUAAUAUAAAAUUUAUUAAUGAGAUUUUUUAUAUUAAGUCGUUGACAUCUGGUGUACAUUUUAUCCUUCACAUCUCAGUUGGGACUAGUUAUGUUUCAAGUUUUUAAUACUGGUCAUAUUACAUUGGACAGUGUAGGCUUAGUACAUAAACCCUGCAAGGGCCCCAGGCUUAGAACAGUCGCUGGCACAGUGGGCACUCAGAUCUGUCCAGCACAGGAAUAAAUGGACUUCUUCUCUGUUGGUUUUAGGCUCU